ensembl:lncRNA
CGAGCCUCGUGCCAGGGCCACUCAGCAAAGUGGGUACGCUGGUUUUUGUCCUGUUUCCACGUUCUUCGCAGCGGCAAAUUUGUCCCUGCCUUCAGCAAGAAUCCUAUUGCAGGAAGUCUUCAGGUUCACACCUGUUGUGUGCAGCAGGAGACACCUUGGAGCACUGGGGACCAUGUUUGUGACUUGCCAGAAGUCUGAGGGCCAAAGGCAAUUUGCAUCUGUAUUUACAUAGUGCUCCAAAGGCACGCAGCUCUGAUACCUGCCCAGGCUUGCAUUUCCCUCAGUAGAUGAAUGGAGGCUGAGAGCUGUUGGACUUCUAUUCUCCAGAGGCAUAGAGCUUGCAGUGGGUCAGCUGGGUUCUCAGCUCAUCAUGCAGGGUAGUGACAAGCAAGCUGUAGUUCUGCUCUUCACAUUUCAUAUUCUGCAUAUUUGGCUGCUAGCACAGAAACCAGACUAGGUUAGGGCAGCGGUUGGCUUAACUCCAGGAAAGAGCAGAUUUCUGGCUUUACAGUUUGCAAAAAGACAAAGAUUUUUUUUGCAAAGUAGUGAUGAGCAACAGAAGCGGGGAAGAACCAACAGAUUUUUUUUUUUUGAAGCUGAAAGUGUUAAAAGUUUCUUAAGUGACUUCAGGUAGAGAGAUCAGAGCAGUGAAUUGAUAACAUUCUGAAAGUUCAGGUUCCCACAACAACUGGACUGUGGCAGACUUACAGUUUAAUGAGGCUGCUAAUCCCAUUAGAGAUUAAAUUAAGAAGGUCUUUUUGGGAGAUCACCAAGGAAAUGAUGAAUACUGUACUGUAGCUUGGGUUGCAGUGCCAAGUGAUGGAGAGCUGACAUGUGCUUCUUGCACGGCGAGGUACUGUUUCGUUCUGCCUGUCUCAUUAAAACAAGGCGUUCAACUCCAGCUCUACAAACAGAGGCAAAUGUAUUAUUACUAUUACUAGCAUCAUCCUGGAAAUAACAUGCAGAUUAAAAGAUGGAAAUAUCAACCAGAUCUGCACAUCAGCAAAGCUCUGCUGAGUUCAUUCUCAGACAAUCUGGCCCUUUUUAUUAAAGCAAAGCCUCAGAAGACAGGGAGAGCACGUAUGAAAAAGAAUAUGUUUCAGGUAACUCUUGCCAUAACUCCAUUAGCUUGGAACUUCCACGAAAACAAUUUUUUUCUAGCAUUCUGCACACUGCAGUGAUGGGAAAGUAUUGUAUGGAGUAAUGACUCUGUAACCACAGACUUCAAAAGUAUAGAAUGUCUGCGGCAUGAUGGAAAGAGCUGUUUCCACAUCAAUAAUAUACACGCAGGGUACUGAAGCUUAAUUGCAAGGCCGGUGGUGAUGGGAGGGGGAAAGAGAAAGGAUAUCUGACUGUGACCGCACCAAACGUGUGGGCUGUGCAGAAUGCCUCUGCUUGGCAGCCAGAAACAAUGAUUCAUGUCAUUAUAAUCUUGACUUUUGCAUUUUUCUCAUGACUUAUUGAUAACUUCGUAUGGGACUUAAUAGAGUUAUUGACUCCUUAGGAAUUAGGAAGAGAGACAGGGUGUAUAUUAUUUCUUAUAAACAUCACUCGCUGGCAGUUGUUUUACAUUACUCUAUUUUGAGGGCAGCUUUGGCAGAAUUUUUUCUGACUGUAUUUUCUCUUUCGUUGAAUGAAGAGAUCUUACGCUUAAAAGCAGGCUUGCACUUCUCAUAGUCCAUCUUUUUUGUCAUUUUCACGGGAAGUCCUGAUCCUCUAGUUGAGAUCACAGUACUGACAUGAAGGUAGCUCUGAUGUCACAAACUGCUGCUGUUGGGCUGGGUCCUAAUGCACACAAAGGCCCUUUGCCCGGCCCUGGCACUGUAAAUUAGAGGUACACUUAAUAGCUUUAGGUGAAAGAUGAACAGCUUUUGCUCUGCAAAAUGUUAUUGGCAUUAUUGAUACUCUUUUAUACUUACUGUUAAAGACCCAGGAACUUCUAGGUUCGUCAGCUGUGCAAGUUUUGUUAUGCUGUAGAGAUUUUACUACUCUGAGCUUUGGAUGUUUUCAUUACUAGCAGGC